AACGUAGGUGGCGAGCGUUAUCCGGAUUUACUGGGCGUAAAGGGUGUGCAGGCGGGCUGUUAAGUGGUGUAUGAAAUAUCCCGGCUCAACCGGGAAGGGUUAUGCCAGACUGGCAGUCUAGAGAGCGAGAGAGGGACGUGGAAUUCCGGGUGUAGUGGUGAAAUGCGUAGAGAUCCGGAGGAACCCCAGAGGCGAAGGCGGCGUCCUGGCUCGCAUCUGACGCUCAGACACGACAGCAUGGGGAGCGAACUGG
rnacentral:rRNA from 1 species